rnacentral:rRNA from 1 species
GACGAACGCUGGCGGCGUGCUUAACACAUGCAAGUCGAGCGGUAAGGCCCUUUCGGGGGUACACGAGCGGCGAACGGGUGAGUAACACGUGGGUGACCUGCCCUCAGCUCUGGGAUAAGCCUGGGAAACCGGGUCUAAUACCGGAUAUGACUCCAUGACGCAUGUUGUGGGGUGGAAAGCCUUGUGCGGCUGAGGAUGGGCCCGCGGCCUAUCAGCUUGUUGGUGGGGUGANGGCCUACCAAGGCGACGACGGGUAGCCGGCCUGAGAGGGCGACCGGCCACACUGGGACUGAGACACGGCCCAGACUCCUACGGGAGGCAGCAGUGGGGAAUCUUGCGCAAUGGGCGAAAGCCUGACGCAGCGACGCCGCGUGAGGGAUGACGGCCUCGGUGUAAG